rnacentral:rRNA from 1 species
CAGUAGGGUGCCAUCAAGAGGUGUAUUUGGAAAUAUCCCUAAUACAGGAUCACUUGGAUCCGUCGGCGAUGACGAGCGCGAGAGAAUGCGAAAAGUCCUCACGGAAUGCUCUAAUUAUGAGAUAAUCUCAUGGAUACUCCCUGGACUUAAGC